AUUGAACGCUGGCGGCAUGCCUUACACAUGCAAGUCGAACGGCAGCACGGGUGCUUGCACCUGGUGGCGAGUGGCGAACGGGUGAGUAAUACAUCGGCACAUGUCCUGUAGUGGGGGAUAGCCCGGCGAAAGCCGGAUUAAUACUGCAUACGAUCUACGGAUGAAAGCGGGGGCCCUUCGGGCCUCGCCCUUUAGGGUUGGCCGAUGGCUGAUUAGCUAGUUGGUGGGGUAAAGGCCUACCAAGGCGACGAUCAGUAGCUGGUCUGAGAGGACGACCAGCCACACUGGGACUGAGACACGGCCCAGACUCCUACGGGAGGCAGCAGUGGGGAAUUUUGGACAAUGGGCGAAAGCCUGAUCCAGCAAUGCCGCGUGUGUGAAGAAGGCCUUCGGGUUGUAAAGCACUUUUGUCCGGAAAGAAAACCUUGGCUCUAAUACAGUCGGGGGAUGACGGUACCGGAAGAAUAAGCACCGGCUAACUACGUG
rnacentral:rRNA from 1 species